rfam:Canis lupus familiaris chromosome 1, whole genome shotgun sequence.
AGGAGGAACAACCCCAGCGGCGGGGCCAGCUCUGGAGCCCUGGAGUCAGCCCCCGCAGGAACUCCGGAGCUCUCGGUCUGCAGGGCCUGGAGGCUCCGGGGCGGG